UACGGAGGGUGCAAGCGUUAUCCGGAUUCACUGGGUUAAAAGGGUGCGUAGGUGGGCAGGUAAGUCAGUGGUGAAAUCCCCGAGCUCAACUCGGGAACUGCCGUUGAUACUAUCUAUCUUGAAUAUCGUGGAGGUAAGCGGAAUAUGUCAUGUAGCGGUGAAAUGCUUAGAUAUGACAUAGAACACCCAUUGCGAAGGCAGCUUACUACACGAUCAUUGACACUGAGGCACGAAAGCGUGGGGAGCAAACAGG
rnacentral:rRNA from 1 species